rnacentral:rRNA from 1 species
UACGUAGGGACCAAGCGUUGUUCGGAUUUACUGGGCGUAAAGGGCGCGUAGGCGGCCACCGCAAGUCGAGUGUGAAAUCCCCGGGCUUAACUUGGGAAUUGCGCUCGAAACUACUUGGCUCGAGUGUGGCAGAGGAAGGUGGAAUUCCGAGGUGUAGCGGUGAAAUGACGUAGAGAUCUGGAGGAACACCGAUGGCGAAGGCAGCCUUCUGGGCCAACACUGACGCUCAUGCACGAAAGCGUGGGGAGCAAACAGG